rnacentral:tRNA from 1 species
GAAGUUUUUAGCUCAGUGGUAGAGCACGUGCCUAACAUGCAUGAAGUCCUGGGUUCAAUCCCCAGUGCCUCCA